rnacentral:rRNA from 1 species
AACGAACGCUGGCGGCGUGGAUAAGACAUGCAAGUCGAACGGGAUUUUUUUCUGUAGCAAUACAGGAAAAAGUCUAGUGGCGAACGGGUGCGUAACACGUGAGCAACCUGCCGUGAAGUGGGGGAUAGCUCGCCGAAAGGCGAAUUAAUACCGCAUGUGGCCAAGGAAGACAUCUUCCUGACGCCAAAGCCGGGGCAACCUGGCGCUCCUCGAGGGGCCCGCGGCCUAUCAGCUUGUUGGUGAGUUAACGGCUCACCAAGGCUAUGACGGGUAGCUGGUCUGAGAGGACGACCAGCCACACUGGAACUGAGACACGGUCCAGACACCUACGGGUGGCAGCAGUCGAGAAUUUUUCACAAUGGGGGAAACCCUGAUGGAGCGACGCCGCGUGGAGGAUGAAGGUUUUCGGAUUGUAAACUCCUGUCAUUAGAGAACAAGGCACACGGUUUAACUGGCCGUGUGUUGAUAGUAUCUGAAGAGGAAGAGACGGCUAACUCUGUGCCAGCAGCCGCCGUAA